GUCUGUCACUGUCCGUGAGUACAGAAGGAGAAAAAGAAAGCUAUUAGCGAAGUAUAUACACGUUGAGUUUAUUAGCUUGAUAUUUAAUCUAUUUAUGGUGAUAACUUAAAAUCUACUGCUAAACUAAUUGAAUUAUUAAUUGCGCUGCGAGGCAAAGCAUCCUAGACGAGUGUCUAAUCUAAAAGUGUACCUUUCAAAUCAAACGUUGAACUUAAACCGCUCCGUUAUAACAGUAAAAGACCCCUACUACCCGCUGAAUCUGAACUAGGGGAACUAAACGUAAGUGUUGAUCAACAGUAUCUAUUAUAUAAUGUUCUCAGAACAAAAUUUGUUAACUGUGGCCUACAUAACUGAAAUUAUGAAACUAAUCUCUGAAUUAUUUAUACAAUUUUGUCACACUUGCACAGGAAAUUAGUAAUCUCCCAAAUAAAGAGCCAAUUAAACAAUCCCUGCUCUGGAGGUUACCGAAACGGAAGAAUUACCCUAUCAGUCAAAGUCACGAAUCGUAAAUCUCGGUCGAAGCAAACUUC